rnacentral:tRNA from 1 species
GGAUGUAGCUCAGUGGUAGAGAAUCUGCUUGACAUGCAGAAUGAACCAGGCUCAGUCCCUGGAAUAUCUA